GAAAUGAAAUCUUUUUCUAUAUUUAUGUUAAUCCCUUCUAUGAAUUUGUGAAUUCUUGGUAAACCUUUAGCCUGUGAUGUUUGGAUUAGUCCAAUUGAUUUUAUUAAAAUCCCAUUUCUUCAAAUCUUACGGUCUAACUCUUUUGAUGGAAAUCUUUUAUAAGUCGCUUAACGGUAUCAGUACUAAGCCUAUUCAUAAAACUGCCUCCCUGUCGUUUUCUUUGUUUUCUUAAUCGUUUGGUUUGGUUACACGAUGAUUUCUCGAAUUGGCUCCUUUGUAUCAUUGGCUAAUUUACUUGACAAAAUUUUUGCUUAACAUCAUUGUUCCACGGCUUAAGAGUUUAGGUUGAUUUUAAAGGAAACUAAUAUAUCUCUGACUUGUGAAGAAGAAAAAUGAAUGAGUUCUAUUCUGGAUUUUAGUGGCCAGUUAUGCUACUCCUUUUCUCACACUAGCAUCACAUUUGUGAUAAAAACAAAAAUCCAACUUAAUUACUGUUUUGUUUGCUGUCUUACUCACUGUUUGAAUGGAACUGACAAUUUUGACUCCCUUGUGAUGUAGCUUUAUUUGCUUGCCAUCCCUGAUUUAGAUACAAGCUUUAGGAAAAUGAAGAAAUAGGUACUGAACAGUUCCGUGACUUAUUUAUGCCGAACUUGAACACGUUUUGUCAUAUUGAUUCUUUGAAAACUCUCUUGGCAAUUAGGACUGAACUACAAGACUUUACCUUGUUUACGUCAGAUUUGUAUCUUGGUUUGCUCCCUCGAUCUGUGGUUUCUGUAACUUCAUUUAACUUACCAUAAUUGCAUUUUGCUUUGUCGAGUUUCUGGUGAGAUUGAGACUGUACAACUACACUUGUGUUGGUUAGGCUUUUGGUUUCAUAGUUGUCUUUCUAUCCUGUAUGUGUUUGUAAAUGUUACAUUUAAUCGUUUGCACAUGAUCGAAAAGCAAGACGACUCUACUUUAGGAAUGUCAGGCCCACUGGGCCCCCCCACUUACGAGUGGCAACCCGGAAGACCGUUAGCUGUAACGGUGGCUGGUAUCCAGAACUACCUUGACAUCGGCACUGGCCAAAAGUACGAGAGGAGCUUGCAGCAGUAAGCCGGGCAGGGCUUACGGCAGGCUUUUAGCACGUCAAAAAUGCCUCCGAGGGUCCUUAAGCUAAAAGGUGUUGCUGCAGCGAGAAAUGGUAAAGCCAAAAAUCUUGCUAUUGCAAAAAUGAUGAAAGCAAGUUGUGAGAAAUUUGCAGAAUACGUACGAACCAUGGCUGGUGUUAUUGGGAACCAGAACCAGUCGCGGCCCAAUAAUGUUAUGUACUUGAAAGAAUUCAGGAAAGUGGUUUGUGAGAGAGCGUUUCAUGAUACCGAAGAACCCGUAGAAGCUGAAAAGUGGUUUAAAGGGUAUUAAAAAGGAGUUUGAUGCACAUUUAGUGGCUGAGGAGGAUAGAGUACGUUUUUCUACAUAUAUGUUUAAGGGUAAUGCAGACGAUUGGUGGGAAUCCGAAAAGAGAAUGGGAGACGAAACAAAUAUGUCAUGGGCGCAGUUCGAAAAGUUGUUUCUUGACAAGUAUCCCCCCCCACUAUCCCGAUCCCUGAAGUGUGCUGAGUUUGCUAUCUUGAAGCAGGGGACCAUGACAGUUACUCAGUUAGACAAGAAAUUUUAUGAACUCCAACAUUAUGGAAAACAUCUUGUCGAGACCCCGGAAUUGAAGGCUCGCAAACUAGAAGAUGCAUUGAAGCCAGGAAUCCGUGCCCAAGUUGUUCCUCUACAACACCCAACUUAUAAGAAGGUUUGGGGAGCCGCAUUAGCUAUUGAAGCUAACUGGAUAAAAACACAGAAGGAAAGGGAAGAAAGUGUGCCGAGUAAGAAGAAGAAUAACAACGAUUCGUUCCCCCAACGGAAACGUCCACGUUUUGAUCCUUCUCGUUCUGGGCAUACAACCAACAAAGGAAAGGGUUGCUUUCGAUGUGGAGAUGAUCAUCUUGUCAAAGAUUGUCCUGUUCCACCACCACCGAUGCCACAAAACACGAAUCAACCUCAACAGCCUACUGCACAUAAAACGGAUAUUUAUGGGAGACAACCUUACCAACCACGUACCCAUGCGCCACCCUUCCAAUCGAGACAACCAAACAUCCAAAGAAAGCUAAAUCAUGAUGUGGAGAUUAAGGAGGAACCAGACAAUGCCGUAGUCAAGGAGUAUGAGAGGAGCUUGCAGCAGUAAGCCGGGCAGGGCUUACGGCAGGCUUUUAGCACGUCAAAAGUUAGUUUCUUGCUGUCUAUAAUGUGUAUAUCACGGGGUUGCUGGGUAUUUAAAAUGCAAAAUAUCCAUGUCUAUUUUCUUGUCGUUAUUUUGUGGAUACCUCCCAUGUUUUUGAUGUAUAUAAUGACUGUUUAUUUUGCAAGAAAAUGAUGUGUUCGUGUUAAGUUGGUAAAGUUUUAAGGUUUGUCCAUAUUUCGGUGCAUGUAGUUGCUCUUAUGGAACUUAUAUUUAUUUUUUUUGGAACAUUAAUGUAUUCAAAAGCCUUAGUAUGUACAGGUCACUUUCCUUUGGAACUUGUUUUCUUCUCAUGUAUCUUGGCUUGUUUUCUUACUGUUAAAAAGAGGUGUACUGUGUACAUUAACUUUGCCUAAAUUUUCGAAGUGAUCCGCAGUAUGUUUCCUCUUUACAUGUUUUUCUUCUAGUAAUUAAGUAAGACUAGUGGUGGGAUUUUUAUUUGGAUCUCAUUUUUCAUCGAUUUGAAUACAUAUUGCAGGUCAUUUUAUAUAUACUAUUACAAUCUGUUUGAACUUUCACUUGUGCAUUUUCAUAUUUUCGCAACUAUAGUAGUAAUGCCAAUGUCUUGAAUGCCUGUUUUAAAUGCUUAAAAUAAAUGGACCCAAUUGGACAAGUCCUAUUUUAAAUUUUAUGAUCCAACUCUUUAUCUGUAUACAUGCUUCCACAUUGGAGUUGCUAGAAAUGUCAAUGGACUUCUAAAUCUUCUAAUUAUUCGGACCUAUUCGACUAGUCCAGAAAUGUUACCUAGCUUACAUUUUGAUUAUCGAUCUAUUUUUUUAUUUUCGAGUGACGUACAGGGAGUUUCUCCCUUCUGGACGGGUUGAUAUCCAACCCGUUAGAGGGAAAAUUUACCUGUCCAUUACAAUCUUGGCUAAUUUACUUGACAAAAUUUUUGCUUAACAUCAUUGUUCCACGGCUUAAGAGUUUAGGUUGAUUUUAAAGGAAACUAAUAUAUCUCUGACUUGUGAAGAAGAAAAAUGAAUGAGUUCUAUUCUGGAUUUUAGUGGCCAGUUAUGCUACUCCUUUUCUCACACUAGCAUCACAUUUGUGAUAAAAACAAAAAUCCAACUUAAUUACUGUUUUGUUUGCUGUCUUACUCACUGUUUGAAUGGAACUGACAAUUUUGACUCCCUUGUGAUGUAGCUUUAUUUGCUUGCCAUCCCUGAUUUAGAUACAAGCUUUAGGAAAAUGAAGAAAUAGGUACUGAACAGUUCCGUGACUUAUUUAUGCCGAACUUGAACACGUUUUGUCAUAUUGAUUCUUUGAAAACUCUCUUGGCAAUUAGGACUGAACUACAAGACUUUACCUUGUUUACGUCAGAUUUGUAUCUUGGUUUGCUCCCUCGAUCUGUGGUUUCUGUAACUUCAUUUAACUUACCAUAAUUGCAUUUUGCUUUGUCGAGUUUCUGGUGAGAUUGAGACUGUACAACUACACUUGUGUUGGUUAGGCUUUUGGUUUCAUAGUUGUCUUUCUAUCCUGUAUGUGUUUGUAAAUGUUACAUUUAAUCGUUUGCACAUGAUCGAAAAGCAAGACGACUCUACUUUAGGAAUGUCAGGCCCACUGGGCCCCCCCACUUACGAGUGGCAACCCGGAAGACCGUUAGCUGUAACGGUGGCUGGUAUCCAGAACUACCUUGACAUCGGCACUGGCCAAAAGUACGAGAGGAGCUUGCAGCAGUAAGCCGGGCAGGGCUUACGGCAGGCUUUUAGCACGUCAAAAAUGCCUCCGAGGGUCCUUAAGCUAAAAGGUGUUGCUGCAGCGAGAAAUGGUAAAGCCAAAAAUCUUGCUAUUGCAAAAAUGAUGAAAGCAAGUUGUGAGAAAUUUGCAGAAUACGUACGAACCAUGGCUGGUGUUAUUGGGAACCAGAACCAGUCGCGGCCCAAUAAUGUUAUGUACUUGAAAGAAUUCAGGAAAGUGGUUUGUGAGAGAGCGUUUCAUGAUACCGAAGAACCCGUAGAAGCUGAAAAGUGGUUUAAAGGGUAUUAAAAAGGAGUUUGAUGCACAUUUAGUGGCUGAGGAGGAUAGAGUACGUUUUUCUACAUAUAUGUUUAAGGGUAAUGCAGACGAUUGGUGGGAAUCCGAAAAGAGAAUGGGAGACGAAACAAAUAUGUCAUGGGCGCAGUUCGAAAAGUUGUUUCUUGACAAGUAUCCCCCCCCCCACUAUCCCGAUCCCUGAAGUGUGCUGAGUUUGCUAUCUUGAAGCAGGGGACCAUGACAGUUACUCAGUUAGACAAGAAAUUUUAUGAACUCCAACAUUAUGGAAAACAUCUUGUCGAGACCCCGGAAUUGAAGGCUCGCAAACUAGAAGAUGCAUUGAAGCCAGGAAUCCGUGCCCAAGUUGUUCCUCUACAACACCCAACUUAUAAGAAGGUUUGGGGAGCCGCAUUAGCUAUUGAAGCUAACUGGAUAAAAACACAGAAGGAAAGGGAAGAAAGUGUGCCGAGUAAGAAGAAGAAUAACAACGAUUCGUUCCCCCAACGGAAACGUCCACGUUUUGAUCCUUCUCGUUCUGGGCAUACAACCAACAAAGGAAAGGGUUGCUUUCGAUGUGGAGAUGAUCAUCUUGUCAAAGAUUGUCCUGUUCCACCACCACCGAUGCCACAAAACACGAAUCAACCUCAACAGCCUACUGCACAUAAAACGGAUAUUUAUGGGAGACAACCUUACCAACCACGUACCCAUGCGCCACCCUUCCAAUCGAGACAACCAAACAUCCAAAGAAAGCUAAAUCAUGAUGUGGAGAUUAAGGAGGAACCAGACAAUGCCGUAGUCAAGGAGUAUGAGAGGAGCUUGCAGCAGUAAGCCGGGCAGGGCUUACGGCAGGCUUUUAGCACGUCAAAAGUUAGUUUCUUGCUGUCUAUAAUGUGUAUAUCACGGGGUUGCUGGGUAUUUAAAAUGCAAAAUAUCCAUGUCUAUUUUCUUGUCGUUAUUUUGUGGAUACCUCCCAUGUUUUUGAUGUAUAUAAUGACUGUUUAUUUUGCAAGAAAAUGAUGUGUUCGUGUUAAGUUGGUAAAGUUUUAAGGUUUGUCCAUAUUUCGGUGCAUGUAGUUGCUCUUAUGGAACUUAUAUUUAUUUUUUUUGGAACAUUAAUGUAUUCAAAAGCCUUAGUAUGUACAGGUCACUUUCCUUUGGAACUUGUUUUCUUCUCAUGUAUCUUGGCUUGUUUUCUUACUGUUAAAAAGAGGUGUACUGUGUACAUUAACUUUGCCUAAA